rnacentral:RNase_P_RNA from 1 species
UGAGACCUCUUGAUGGCCGCGGCCGUGAUCUUCAUUGGGAUCGGCUGAGGAACUUCCGGGCUCCAUAGAGCACGAUGGCGGAUAACGUCCGCCCAGGGUGACCUGAGAGAUAGCGCAACAGAGAACAGACCGCCCGUCCUCGACGGGUAAGGGUGAAACGGCGGUGUAAGAGACCACCGGGCCUCUGGUAACAGUAGGUCGCAUGGCAAACCUCAUCGGGAGCAAGGCCAAGCAGAUGGCGGUAAGGGCUGCUCGCCCGUGUCAUCGGGUAGGCUGCUAGAGCCUGGCGGUAACGUCAGGUCGAGAUGGAUGGCCAUCCGUGCCGUGCGUUCGCGCACGGCACGACAGAACCCGGGGUAUAAGAGGUCUCAUUUU